GGUUAAUCCGCCCAGGGUGAGUCGGGACCUAAGGCGAGGCCGACAGGCGUAGUCGAUGGACAACGGGUUGAUAUUCCCGUACCCGUGUAUCCGCGCCCAAUGGCGAAUCAGUUGUGCUAAUCGUCCAAAUGUUUUCUUAUCGAGCCUUCGGGUGAGAGGGAGAAUUGCUGCACGAGACCCUGGCUGUAGUAGUCAAGCGAUGGGGUGACGCAGGAAGGUAGCUGGGCCAGGUGAUGGAAUACCUGGUGUAAGCCUGUAGGGCGUUGUGUAGGCAAAUCCGCACAACAUGUAGCCUGAGAGGUGAUGCGUAGCCGUUGUGGUGAAUUCAGUGAUCCUAUGCUGCCGAGAAAAGCCUCUAGCGA
rnacentral:ncRNA from 1 species